rnacentral:piRNA from 1 species
GAUUUCUGGGGACCACAAAUGCAG